CAAGUUAGGCGUACAUAUCUUGCCCCUGGCAUUUCCCUGGACGUUAGCGAUGAUCCGAAAGGUAGCGACGAUACUUGGACCAGCAGCGCUGGCGUUCCCUGAUCAGGAUGGCGUUGCUGGU
rnacentral:ncRNA from 12 species